rnacentral:snRNA from 1 species
AUCGCUUCUCGGCCUUUUGGCUAAGAUCAAGUGUAGUAUCUGUUCUUAUCAGUUUAAAAAACUGUGGUACAUCUAGGUACACAAUGGAAUACUACACUGUUGUGAAAAAGAAGGAACACCUACCAUUC